UACGGAGGGUGCGAGCGUUGUCCGGAAUCAUUGGGCGUAAAGGGCGCGUAGGUGGCCCGGUCAGUCCGUGGUGAAAGCGCGGGGCUCAACCCUGCGUCGGCCAUGGAUACUGCCGCGGCUCGAGCACUGUAGAGGCAGGCGGAAUUCCGGGUGUAGCGGUGGAAUGCGUAGAGAUCCGGAAGAACACCGGUGGCGAAGGCGGCCUGCUGGGCAGUUUAGCUGACACUGAGGCGCGACAGCGUGGGGAUCAAACAGG
rnacentral:rRNA from 1 species